rnacentral:sRNA from 2 species
AAAAACGACUGGCUGAAUCCCUGCCUAUAGCAGGGUACGGGGGAACUUUUGGUGGGGUGAAUCCUUUUAAUAGGUAGGGAAUCCUUCGUUCCCGAACCCGUCAACUAACCUCGGAAGCGAAAUAACGUAGGAGGA